rnacentral:rRNA from 1 species
CUACGGGAGGCAGCAGUAAGGAAUAUUGCUCAAUGGGAGAAAUCCUGAAGCAGCAACGCCGCGUGAAGGAUGAAGACCUUAUGGUUGUAAACUUCUGUAGAUGGGGAGAAAUUUCCGGCUCUGCCGGAUUUGAUAGUACCCAUAAAGUAAGCCCCGGCUAACUACGUGCCAGCAGCCGCGGUAAUACGUAGGGGGCAAGCGUUGUCCGGAUUUACUGGGUGUAAAGGGUGCUCAGGUGGUUGCGCAAGUCAGAGGUGAAAUCCUAGAGCUUAACUCUGGAACUGCCUUUGAUACUGCGCGGCUUGUGUACGGAAGAGGCUGAUGGAAUUCCUGGUGUAGCAGUGAAAUGCGUAGAUAUCAGGAAGAACACCAGUGGCGAAGGCGGUCAGCUGGUCCGUUACAGACACUAAAGCACGAAAGCGUGGGGAGCAAACAGGAUUAGAUACCCCUGUA